rnacentral:rRNA from 1 species
UGGGGAAUAUUGCACAAUGGGCGCAAGCUUGAUGCAGCAACGCCGCGUGAACGAUGAAGGUCUUCGGAUCGUAAAGUUCUGUUGCAGGGGAAGAUAAUGACGGUACCCUGUGAGGAAGCCCCGGCUAACUACGUGCCAGCAGCCGCGGUAAUACGUAGGGGGCUAGCGUUAUCCGGAUUUACUGGGCGUAAAGGGUGCGUAGGUGGUCUUUCAAGUCGGUGGUUAAAGGCUACGGCUCAACCGUAGUUAGCCUCCGAAACUGGAAGACUUGAGUGCAGGAGAGGGAAGUGGAAUUCCCAGUGUAGCGGUGAAAUGCGUAGAUAUUGGGAGGAACACCAGUAGCGAAGGCGGCUUUCUGGACUGCAACUGACACUGGGGCACGAAAGCGUGGGUAGCAAACAGG